rnacentral:lncRNA from 1 species
AGCUGAAGUCUUCAUUUUAAAUAUCUAAAUAAAAAUGCAAAAAUCCUAAUAAGAAUCCCUGCCCAAGAACUAGAGUCACAAACUCACGAAUUACUAAGAUUUUGUACACACAAUGUUUGAAAGAAAUUAUAGAAUGCUUAUAUCAAAUACAAGAGAUAACAACUGAAAGCAAGAUAAGGAGAUGUCGGGCCCGCAAUUGCCUCCGAGUCUACCUCGGUAUCUCUCUAUUGACUGAAGGUAUGCCCCGAUCUACUACUGAUGUUGCUAUCCAAAGCCUGGAUCUAUCAAUAGAGCACAUAGUGUAGCAUCUGCACAAUCAACCCUAUGUGCUAGUAAGUGCCUGGCCUAACUCCGGCGAAGUAGUGACGAGGCUAGGGCCAGACUACUAGAAUAACAUGUGCAGUUCAAAUAUAUCUAUAUAUGCAGCAGAAGAAAAUACAUGAAGUAAACAGUCAUUAAAGGGAAAUGAAAGCAUGCUGUGGGGAGAUAACAAUUCCAAUUAUGAAAACCUCAAUAUAAGGAUAGAAGCAACCAACAACAGAAUAUCAAUAAGAAGCUAGAAUUCACAAGUUUGCAUGACAUCACCCUUCAUGCUUUUACCCUUAUUCUUACCAAAUCAAUCAUAUAAAUAAUUCGGUACACGACAUCACCCUUCGUGCUUUUACUCUCCUUCCUCACAGUAUAAUCAAUGAAUCUCAGUAUGGAAUGGUACAUCGUAUGGAACGACAUCACCCUUCGUUCUUUGCACUCGUUCGUCACCAUAUCAAAACAAUACACGUUAUCACCUUUCGUGCUUUAUCACUCUACCUGACCUAGACAUUAGUCACAAUAAAGGGGCAAGGGAAUAAACAAAUAGUGAUGCAAAUCCCGACAAGGGAAUAGAAUUAGACAGUCAAAUCCAGUAACGGUACAAUACCAAUAAAUUCAAUAUCCCGGCAAGGGAGAAAUUCAAUAAAUCUUUAUCAUUCUUCCAAUUCGUACUUUAUAAUUUCCUUUUAUCACUUGAGCCAACGCUCCAAAAUAUUCGAUUGUCUCAUAUAUUUCCACAAUUCAUAUCAUGACUCGAGCCAAUGCUCCUUGAAGCUUUAAGACCUCAAUUUAUCUAACAUGCUUUUCACAGCACAUAGAAAUCACCAAAUAAGCAUGAAUGCUACACAAAAGCCAGGGUGAUCUCAAUAUAAGGGCUCACGGUCAUGCUAGACAACAAUUUUUAGAUACUUGUCACCAUACCUAUACAUCGUACUCGACAAUUAGCAAGUAACAAACAAGAACCUACUCCUAUUCCCUCAAGCUAGGGUUAGACCAAACACUUACCUCGAUGUUUCAAACUCAACUCAAGCCUCAUGUAUAGCUCUACGUUUCGAUUCCACCACAAAACAGCUCGAAUCUAGUCACAGAUUACUUGAAUACACCAAAAAAUGCUAAUUGAAUCAAUUUGAAUAUAUAAAAAUGAAUUUCCCAAAGUUUUUCCCUAAAAGUCCAAAAAUUCCACCAGGCCCACGUGGUCAAAACCCAAGGUUCGAACCAAAACUCGGAUACCAUUUCUCCCAUGAGUCCAUAUCCAUGAUUAGUUUUGAAAUCGAACCUCAAACUGAGGUCCAAAUCACCCAAUUUUAGACAACCUAAGUUCUACUCAAAGUCCAUAUUUUCAUCCAUGAAAAUCCUUAAUUUUAAGAUGAAACAUGUUUAAUGAUUGAAAGAAUUGAGUAAAAGUCGACUUAAAAAUGAUUUGAGAAGAAAUAUUGCUUAGAAAAAUCGCUUAUAGGUGUUUGAGUUUUGAAAGAAUGAAGAAAUGGGUUAAAAUUUCAUCUAUGUAUGAAAUUGCUUGGCUGCAGAUAUGGGAAUUGGGAGCUGGUUCGCAAUUGCGAGCCCGACAGAAAUUUCCAACUUUUACAUUUGCAGACACUACGUCACUUUUACGAUAUCGCAUUUUCAAGUUUCACGUCGCAUUUGCAAAACCUAGCUGAAAUGGGGCACCUUCGCAUUUGCGAAGUAAAUUAUCGCAUUUGCUAUGGAGGGUUAGGUCUGGCUAUCUCGCAUUUACGAGAAAACCUUCGCAUUUGCAAGUCAAAUGCAAAGUCUGUAGCUCAGGUCAUAUCAUCUAACUUCGAAGUUCAAAUGUGCAGCUUGAAGACUAUCCAAAACACACGCAAGUCAUCGGGGCUCUAAACUAAACAUACACAAAACUUCAAAAACAUCCUACAGACUUACUCAUUCGAUCAUAUCGCCAAAAUAAUAUCGUAUGCAUCAAAAUUAAGCCUCAAAAUCCAUAAUUUCUUCCAAAUUUUUAUAAAACAUAAAAUUUUCAUUUCAAGUCCGAAACAUGUCAAACGACAUUCAUUUUCAACCAAACUUUACAGAAAGCGCUUGAAUCAUAUAUAAGACUUGUACCGGGCGCCAGAACCAAAAUACGGCCCGAUACCAACACAUUCUAAUCAUUUUUUCAUUUUCAUUUUUCUUAAUAAAUUCCAGAAAAUAAUUUCACACAAAAGUUCAUUUCUCGGGGUUGGGACAUCGGAAUUCGAUUGCGGAUAAGGAAUUAUAUUAACCCGGAAGAAGAUAUUAGGCAUUCUCGAGUUCCGUGAUUCUACCAGGUCGCUCGAUGUCAUAUUUAGCUUAUUUAUCCGAUUUUAAUACAUGUUGAACAUGUGUGCAAAUUUUACGCUCUUUACUACUUUUAUUAUUCUUAUUUUAACAGAGAAUUGCAACGUUUUGAAAAUGCAUCUCGAACCACAUCAUAUCAAUGUACCCGGGAUUAUCGAUACAUUUCGACUCCGUUGAGAUUUGGAUUUGGGUCACAUAAAUGUGCACCCGAGUUUAAGAAAAUGAAUUAUUAAAAGUGCGCCUGAAGCGCCUAGCGUAUUAUUGUGGGAAAAGCCCUGAAAUUUUGCUAAACAGCCUUCCCGAAGUCUAAACAUUUAAAAUAACCAUCUAUUGAGGGCCCCGUAAUCUGCGUUUUAUUUGGCGAGGCUCAUCUCGUUUAUAUAAAAGAACAAUCCUACAGUGAACAAUAUUUUUUUAUUAAGUUCGUCUCUAAACACAAAAUAAUGGACCUAAUCAAUUGUUAUUUAACUCUAUUGUGUGGCUUUUAAAGAUGGUCUUGUAAUUGAGCCCGUUUCCACGACCAGAUUUCAUGCGUUAUUCGAUCCAAGCUCGGCAUUCGAAUCAUAGAAGCGGAUUCGAGUCCAAAUUAGCAUACACAGGUUAUUUUCGAUUGCUUUACAUGAUCAAACCAAAAACAAUGUUUCAAUUUUUGAGUAAAUAGGCUACCAACAAUUAAUUUUUGACCAGAUUAAAACCUUCAUAGCUAGUGAACUAACAAGUUUAAACAAGCAUGUUCAAUAUAACAAUCUUAUGCUAUUUUCAUCUUAUUCCACUCAUUUAACUAAACAUCUUGACAACAAUGGGUAUGCUUGACUAUUUGAGAAAGCACAGUUAACUUGGGAGUUUGAUUUUAAUUCUACGCUACUGAAGUUGGUAUUAAACCACUAAAUUUACAACUAAGAAAAUGGGAAAUGAAUGGUCCAAUACAGUCCUUAUGAAAUACAAAUUUCAUAGUCCACAUUCUUCAUUGGGGUAUCAAAAUAGACUAUACGACUACUUACUAUUUAUCUACUGAACUACAGAUACAACACUAAGUGAUCAAUCACCGGCAUUUUCAUUUCACCUUUACAUCUCACAACUACAUCACAAUGUGAUUCGAAAGUGUAUUUGGUAAUAGACAAUAGAAGAAGAAGAGGAGGAUCAGCAGAGCAGUAACAACACAUCAACAGUACCAACCAGCAAAGCAGUAAUGGAAUAGCCUAGUAACAGAUUUAAAAACCCAGAAGAAUUCCAGCAACAACCAAUGGAUCAGUAACAAAUAACCAAUAGAAAACUCAGGAAAAUCAAUUGAAACCCCAGGACCACCAAUAACAACACAGACAGACCAGGAACAAAAGAUGCAAUGAAAUAGUACUUUCUGAUUCUAUGUUCUUUAACACUCAUAGCACAACACUCUCAGGAACCCUACUCUUUUGGCUAAUUUUCAGCAGUCAAAGAAGACUAUACUCUCUUUCUCUCAAUACUGAAUUCUUAGUAUUAAAAAUCCAAACACUUUUAACUCUCAAACUACUGACUUCUGAAGAUUCCAAAGCCCCCUGGACCUAAGAAAAAUUACCAAGCUCUCAAUUUUUUCAACUCUCAAAUCUCACUUUUUUCAGGACUAAUAUCCGGGCCCUCUAUUUUCUAAAUCUUUUCUCUUUAUAUGUGUAUUCUCAAUAUUUCAAAAUGUUCAAGCUCUUUGUCCCUCUUGUUCUCCGUUCAAGUCCGAAUGUCUUCUCCUUUAUGUCUCUACUCCUAUCUAUAUUUAGACCCAAAGACCUUUUUCUUUUUUCAGCCACUCUUUUUUUCUCUUUACAGUUGUCAAAGGAAAAACUUUUAUUAUUACCCCCUCUUCCUUUUACGUUAAAGCUUUUAUAUUCCCUUCCCAUGUGCACCAUUUUAGCUUUUUAUCAUUAACCUACUAUUUCUAAUUUUCAAUUAGCAAAGGCAUUAGGCGCACCCAAUCAAUAAGCAUUAUUUCAAUUUAAAGCAUACAAGGACCAUACUGGACAGACUGCUCAUUCAAACCAUUUUGAACUUUUCCAUCCCCAAAUUACCCUUGAAACCCCUUGUGAUUGACCCUAGGAUCCGCUACUAUAGCUCAUCAGCUAUAACCAAUUCAAACAUAAUCAAAUUAUUUAAUUGAUCUCAUUACUGACUCUUAAUCAACACAAGCACAUCAAAACAGAAUUCAAACUAAAAAAACACCAGUUAUAACCAAUCCUUAAUACAAUCAAUAAACAGAAUCAAUUAUCUACUGAAACAAAAAAUGAAUUGAAACCAAUCAAUUCAGUUCUCAAUUUAGGUAACAACAGGUUCACCCUAAUUAAAACACUGGAACAGAAAGAAAUAGGAUAAAGAAACUAUUGAACUUAAACAAAACAGACUAUUGCCAUUUUUUUCUAAUUUUCAAACAGAUUAUUGAUUAUACUUAACUAGUCGAUUGCAUAAAUUAUAACACAUAACAAAUAAUUAGAACAUGCAAUUUCGAGUGGCAUUGACAAAACAUGGAGUUAUAAGAUAAUUCAAUUAAUCGACGACUUUAUUCGAAUCUAUUACAUAGCCUAAUAUAUACACAACAACGAGCAGAAACCAAAUUGACCAAAUAAAAAGGUCUUAUGAAGAUGGGCAGAAUAAUUUUUCAAACAUUGAAAAGAAGCUAACAAAAACUAAACAAAUAAUAGAUACUAGCAACAUAAAAGUAGAACAAAAUGAAGAUGGGAAGAAUACCUCAGAGAAUCAGCAAU